GAUGAACGCUGGCGGCGUGCCUAAUACAUGCAAGUCGAGCGAACAGACGAGGAGCUUGCUCCUCUGACGUUAGCGGCGGACGGGUGAGUAACACGUGGAUAACCUACCUAUAAGACUGGGAUAACUUCGGGAAACCGGAGCUAAUACCGGAUAAUAUAUUGAACCGCAUGGUUCAAUAGUGAAAGACGGUUUUGCUGUCACUUAUAGAUUGAUCCGCGCCGCAUUAGCUAGUUGGUAAGGUAACGGCUUACCAAGGCAACGAUGCGUAGCCGACCUGAGAGGGUGAUCGGCCACACUGGAACUGAGACACGGUCCCGACUCCUACGGGAGGCAGCAGUAGGGAAUCUUCCGCAAUGGGCGAAAGCUUGACGGAGCAACGCCGCGUGAGUGAUGAAGGUCUUCGGAUCGUAAAACUCUGUUAUUAGGGAAGAACAAAUGUGUAAGUAACUAUGCACGUCUUGACGGUACCUAAUCAGAAAGCCACGGCUAACUACGUG
rnacentral:rRNA from 1 species